GUGGGGAAUUUUGGACAAUGGGCGCAAGCCUGAUCCAGCAAUGCCGCGUGCAGGAAGAAGGCCUUCGGGUUGUAAACUGCUUUUGUACGGAACGAAACGGUCCGGGUUAAUACCCUGGGCUAAUGACGGUACCGUAAGAAUAAGCACCGGCUAACUACGUGCCAGCAGCCGCGGUAAUACGUAGGGUGCAAGCGUUAAUCGGAAUUACUGGGCGUAAAGCGUGCGCAGGCGGUUUUGUAAGACAGGCGUGAAAUCCCCGGGCUCAACCUGGGAAUUGCGAUUGUGACUGCAAGGCUGGAGUGCGGCAGAGGGGGAUGGAAUUCCGCGUGUAGCAGUGAAAUGCGUAGAUAUGCGGAGGAACACCGAUGGCGAAGGCAAUCCCCUGGGCCUGCACUGACGCUCAUGCACGAAAGCGUGGGGAGCAAACAGGAUUAGAUACCCCAGUAGUCC
rnacentral:rRNA from 1 species